rnacentral:rRNA from 1 species
UACGAAGGGGGCUAGCGUUGUUCGGAUUUACUGGGCGUAAAGCGCGUGUAGGCGGGUCGUUAAGUUGGGGGUGAAAUCCCGAGGCUCAACCUCGGAACUGCCUUCAAAACUGGCGACCUGGAGCAAAGAAGAGGCGAGUGGAAUUGCGAGUGUAGAGGUGAAAUUCGUAGAUAUUCGCAGGAACACCAGUGGCGAAGGCGACUCGCUGGCCUUUUGCUGACGCUGAGACGCGAAAGCGUGGGGAGCAAACAGG